rnacentral:rRNA from 1 species
GACGAACGCUGGCGGCGUGCCUAAUACAUGCAAGUAGGACGCAGUUGCGAACGAGUGAGUAACGCGUAGGUGACUGCCUGUUAAAGGGCGGUAAAUAUUGGAAACGAUAGCUAAUACUGCCUACUAGUAGAUGGACCUGCGUUGUAUUAGCUAGUGGGUAGGGUAAUGGCCUACCUAGGCGACGAGACAUAGCCGACCUGAGAGGGUGAUCGGCCACACUGGGACUGAGACACGGCCCAGACUCCGACGGGAGGCAGCAGUAGGGAAUCUUCCGCAAUGGGGGGAACCCUGACCGAGCAACGCCGCGUGAGUGAAGAAGGUUUUCGGGUCGUAAAACUCUGUUGUUAGAGAAGCGGUAUCUAACCAGAAAGCCACGGCUAACUACGUGCCAGCAGCCGCGGUAAUUC